rnacentral:sRNA from 1 species
AAACUCUGAAAAAGUCUUUAAUUUUAUAUUGUAUGUAAAUAUUGAUUAGAAACAUUUCAUUUGUUUAUUUCUUACUACUUGAUCACUCUAGUGUGACGUCAGGUAUUCUGGACUUCCAUGUACCUCCGUGCCGUGGGACAGCUGUGAGCACAUCGAGAUGUUGGUCAACAGACUUUUGGUGCCUUACGUCAACCAGGUACACAACAAAUUCCCUAGUUGGUCAAUGGAUCAAGCCCUUCAAGGUGCAUUGGCAGGUUACAACGGCGGAGUCAGCAGGGUGACAUCA